rnacentral:rRNA from 1 species
UACAUGGGGUGCAAACGUUGCUCGGAAUUAUUGGGCGUAAAGCGCACGUAGGCGGUUCGUUAAGUCGGAUGUGAAAGCCCUCGGCUCAACUGAGGAAGUGCACCCGAAACUGGCGAGCUUGAGUACGAAAGAGGAUCGCGGAAUUCCCGGUGUAGAGGUGAAAUUCGUAGAUAUCGGGAGGAACACCGGUGGCGAAGGCGGCGAUCUGGACGAGGACUGACGCUGAGAUGCGAAAGCGUGGGGAGCAAACAGG